UAUUAACUGCUCUGAACGUGAUUAUAUUGCAUUUGACCCUGGAAGAGGCCACCUCUCAGUGAUUAACAUUUCUGGUGUAUUACACAGUUCUCUACAUGGUAAAAGCCCAGUAUCUGUGUAUUGCUUGGAGAAUCACGGAAGGUCAGACCCAAGAGGAAACUUAAGAGCACUGGUUCUGGGGAGACCACUGGAUACAAUGAGGAGAAUGGAGUCCAGAGGGGAGAGGACCAGCAAUGGUACUCGUCUCUCUUGCCUUGGGACCUUGCCCAUCACCCUGCCGUCAGAGACUGCACAGCAAGGUCAGCUGCUAAACUAGCUCUCAACAACUUCACCCUUU
rnacentral:lncRNA from 1 species